UAACGGCCGCGGUAUUUUAACCGUGCAAAGGUAGCGCAAUCAAUUGUCUUUUAAAUGGAGACCUGUAUGAAUGGCAUCACGAGGGUUUAGCUGUCUCUUUUUCCUGGUCAAUGAAACUGAUCUGCCCGUGCAGAAGCGGGCAUAACAUUACAAGACGAGAAGACCCUAUGGAGCUUUAGACGCCCACCAAUCAUGAAAAGCAACCCCGAUCAAGGGGCCCCUAAGCAACAUGGCCCUGGCACAAACGUCUUCGGUUGGGGCGACCACGGGAGAAAGCAAAGCUCCCGAGCGGAUAGGGGACACCCUAAAACCCAGAGCCACUGCUCUAAGUCACAAAAUAUUUGACCGACAAUGAUCCGGCUUCUUGCCGAUCAACGGACCAAGUUACCCUAGGGAUAACAGCGCAAUCCCCUCCCAGAGUCCAUAUCGACGAGGGGGUUUACGACCUCGAUGUUGGAUCAGGACAUCCUGAUGGUGCAGCCGCUAUCAAGGGUUCGUUUGUUCAACGAUUAAAGUCCUACGUGAUCUGAGUUCAGACCGGAGUAAUCCAGGUCAGUUUCUAUCUGUACCGCCACC
rnacentral:rRNA from 1 species